rnacentral:rRNA from 1 species
ACGCCCCCUUCGGGGGGAGUGGCAGACGGGUGAGUAACGCGUGGGAACAUACCUUUCGGUUCGGAAUAGCCCCGGGAAACUGGGUGUAAUACCGGAUACGUCCUUAGGGAGAAAGAUUUAUCGCCGAAAGAUUGGCCCGCGUUAGAUUAGGUAGUUGGUGAGGUAAAGGCUCACCAAGCCUACGAUCUAUAGCUGGUCUGAGAGGAUGAUCAGCCACACUGGGACUGAGACACGGCCCAGACUCCUACGGGAGGCAGCAGUGAGGAAUCUUGGACAAUGGGCGAAAGCCUGAUCCAGCCAUGCCGCGUGAAUGAUGAAGGCCUUAGGGUUGUAAAAUUCUUUCAGCAGGGAAGAUAAUGACGGUACCUGCAGAAGAAGCCCCGGCUAACUCCGUGCCAGCAGCCGCGGUAAUACGGAGGGGGCUAGCGUUGUUCGGAAUUACUGGGCGUAAAGCGCUCGUAGGCGGAUUGGUCAGUCAGGGGUGAAAGCCCGGAGCUCAACUCCGGAACUGCCUUUGAUACUGCCAGUCUUGAGUUCGGGAGAGGUGAGCGGAAUACCGAGUGUAGAGGUGAAAUUCGUAGAUAUUCGGUGGAACACCAGAGGCGAAGGCGG